ACCGGGCGAACUGGACGGUCGCGUGGAAUUUCGGCUGGAGGUUUCUUCUGGUCGAAGCAACUGGGAUCCUUUUUUUCUUGGGGCCGUUGGGUUUCUUGGUCACGUUCGGCAUUGAUCGAAGCUGAGGAAUUCCGAAGGGUUCUUGGAUUCCUCAGCUUCUUGGUGCUGUGGAGAGAGAGAGCUUUAGGUCCUUGAGCUGACAUGGCGUCCGCAUCGGGAGCAGGUUUAGGCUUCAGGUACACAGCUCCUUCUACCGCGGCUCCUGUCGUAAUAAACGAAAACUGGGUGUGUUGCCAUGAGUGCCAAAAAUGGCGGCUUCUGCCAUUUGGAAAAAAUCCCUGUGACCUGCCUGAGGAGUGGGUCUGUUGCAUGCUUGAUUGGCUGUAAGUUCCUCUCAAGUGGCAUCCUUUCUUCUUGUGAUUUAAACUAGUAUCGAUAGCGCUUGAUCUGUUGCUAAUUUGAGGUGAUGACACUCGCUUAAUUCGCAGUAAAUGGGAUGAUGAAGGUUUACGUUGCUUCAUCUGUCCAAUUUGAAUGUACUUCCGACUUAUUUGCUCGUUCUCCUUGUUUAGGCAUGGCAUGAACCGGUGUAGCGUAAGCGAGUAGGAAACUACAAAAGCCUUAUACGACAUGUCUCAUCUUCUUCCUCCUAGUGCUCAAGAAAGCGCUCCUCUUACUCCUGUUUUGACGGGCGCUGAAGCUGCUGAAGACGACACCACUAGCAGCGCCUGGAUCACCAGCGCAAGCUCUGUUGGAGCAAAGAUGUCACCUGGAUCAUCCCUUUGAAUUGCAUCCUAACGGAGUGGAAAACUGAAACACGAGGUGCAUAAGGAAGAUAAGUACACUAGAAGUAUCAAAAAUUAUUUAUGGAGCUCAUUUUAGUAUCAAAAAUUUUCACUGACUUACUUAAGUGCCAAAUAGAAGAAAAACGAUUACUUAAGUGCUAAC
rnacentral:lncRNA from 1 species